AUUGAACGCUGGCGGCAUGCCUUACACAUGCAAGUCGAACGGCAGCGCGGGAGCAAUCCUGGCGGCGAGUGGCGGACGGGUGAGUAAUAUAUCGGAACGUGCCCAAGAGUGGGGGAUAGCCCGGCGAAAGCCGGAUUAAUACCGCAUACGCCCUAAGGGGGAAAGUGGGGGACCGCAAGGCCUCACGCUCGUGGAGCGGCCGAUAUCUGAUUAGCUAGUUGGUGGGGUAAGAGCCUACCAAGGCGACGAUCAGUAGCUGGUCUGAGAGGACGACCAGCCACACUGGGACUGAGACACGGCCCAGACUCCUACGGGAGGCAGCAGUGGGGAAUUUUGGACAAUGGGGGCAACCCUGAUCCAGCAAUGCCGCGUGUGUGAAGAAGGCCUUCGGGUUGUAAAGCACUUUUGUCCGGAAAGAAAUCCCCUGGGAUAAUACCCCAGGGGGAUGACGGUACCGGAAGAAUAAGCACCGGCUAACUACGUGCCAGCCGCCGCGGUAAAAC
rnacentral:rRNA from 1 species